rnacentral:rRNA from 1 species
AUUGAACGCUGGCGGCAGGCCUAACACAUGCAAGUCGAGCGGAUGACGGGAGCUUGCUCCUUGAUUCAGCGGCGGACGGGUGAGUAAUGACUAGGAAUCUGCCUGGUAGUGGGGGACAACGUUUCGAAAGGAACGCUAAUACCGCAUACGUCCUACGGGAGAAAGCAGGGGACCUUCGGGCCUUGCGCUAUCAGAUGAGCCUAGGUCGGAUUAGCUAGUUGGUGGGGUAAUGGCUCACCAAGGCGACGAUCCGUAACUGGUCUGAGAGGAUGGUCAGUCACACUGGAACUGAGACACGGUCCAGACUCCUACGGGAGGCAGCAGUGGGAAAUAUUGGACAAUGGGCGAAAGCCUGAUUCAGCCAUGCCGCGUGUGUGAAGAAGGUCUUCGGAUCGUAAAGCACUUUAAGUUGGGAGGAAGGGCUCAUAGCGAAUACCUGUGAGUUUUGACGUUACCAACAGAAUAAGCACCGGCUAACUUCGUGCCAGCAGCCGCCGUAACAC